AUCUCCCCUUUUUUCGUUCUCUCUCACUUUUCCCCUUUCCUCUAGAUUAUUUCUCUUCGAUUUUCUUCCCCUUUCUUCUAGAUUUUGCGUCCACCACCACCACCACCACCACUGUGACACUGUCAGCUUUCCGGUGCCUCCGCCACCAUCAAUCUCGAUCGAUUCAGAAGAGAACGUAAAGUUUCAAUAAUUGCGUUUUUGGUGUCGACUCGUUUACAGCAAUUCGAUUAAAAGGUUGAGGGAGAUACAACGUCAACUUGAUAUCUGACUUAAUUUAAUAGUAGAGGCCUCACUCAAGGAGAGAUCAACUACCAAUGUAAACAAUAAAGAUAAAAUGCUUUUCAGCCACACUUUCGGGAAGAUCAGAUACCUUUCUCGCUAUAAAAAGAUGAAUUAGCAGAGCAAAAGGAGAAAAACAAGAGCUAUGAAGAAAAAAUAGAGACUUUGCAAGUACAAAUUCAAGAAAUGCAACAAUUCUUUCUGAAAAUGCCAGGGAAUAGCACUACGCAAAAUUCUUUAUGAAUGAUGAUACAUGCAUGCUUUUGAAGACUGAAGUUGGUUGGUACUGUGUUUUUGUGUGAAGGUUGAUCGUGUCGGAUAUUUUCUUGUCUUAGCUAUUAUGCAGUUCAAAACUUUUAUAUGUAAGUGAUAGUAUCGACAAUAGAUUAUCACCUUAUUUGGCAUGAUCAUUAGAUUAUCACCUUCACGAAUCCUAUAUAUAGUUUGUCUUAGUUAAGUUGUUUUUUUUUUUUUUUGGAACAAUAUUGAGUUUGUUAAAUUAAUUUAUGUUGUUUAGAUGAAAAGAGCUAUAUUACUAUCAUCUAUUUGUCUC